CCUCUGAGCGGGGAGCUGAGGGCGCCUCGCGGGCAGUGGCGCCCGGCCCGGCCCGGCCCCGGGAGCGUGGGGGAGCCGGCGUUCAUGCCGCCAAACGCGCGGCCCUGGGGUUGAGCGCCCCGUUUGUGAGGGGAGAGCUUGAGAUGGCAACAGUGUUGUUGGACAACAGCUCAGAAAACUUUGAGGAGCAGCCCGAGCUUUCUACCAGCCGCAUACUCUGCUGACGUAGCCUGAACUUCAAAGGACUGGUAAGGUGAUGUUUUCAUUUGGAAGAAAGUUUAAGGUUUCACAGACAGGCCAGUAAAGAAUACCAGUUCCUCUCUUCUGCCAUAGCUAC